rnacentral:rRNA from 1 species
CCUACGGGAGGCAGCAGUGAGGAAUAUUGGUCAAUGGCCGAGAGGCUGAACCAGCCAAGUCGCGUGAGGGAUGACGGCCCUACGGGUUGUAAACCGCUUUUGUCGGGAAGUAAAGAGACUCACGUGUGGCUCUUUGAGUGUACCUUAUGAAUAAGCAUCGGCUAAUUCCGUGCCAGCAGCCGCGUUAAUACGGAGGAUGCGAGCGUUAUCCGGAUUUCUUGGGUUUAAAGGGUGCGAAGGCGGAGGUGAAAGUGUUUGGUAAAAUUGCGGGGCUAAACCCGGCACUGCCGUUGAAACUGCAUCCCUUGAGUGCGCGAAAAGUAGGCGGAAUGCGUGGUGUAGCGGUGAAAUGCUUAGAUAUCACGAAGAACUCCGAUUGCGAAGGCAGCAUGCCGGAGCGGAACUGACGCUGAUGCACGAAAGCGUGGGUAUCGAACAGGAUUAGAUACCCUUGUAGUC